ensembl:ncRNA F55E10.8 ncRNA
AGGGUUCAUCUUUCGGCUUCCGGUCACAAAGAGGAAUUUGUGAGAUUCUCAUGUUACACCGGUCCACU